GAUGAACGCUGGCGGCGUGCCUAAUACAUGCAAGUCGAGCGAACGGACGAGAAGCUUGCUUUUCUGAUGUUAGCGGCGGACGGGUGAGUAACACGUGGAUAACCUACCCAUAAGACUGGGAUAACUUCGGGAAACCGGAGCUAAUAUCGGAUAAUAUUUUGAACCGCAUGGUUCAAAAGUGAAAGACGGUCUUGCUGUCACUUAUAGAUGGAUCCGCGCUGCAUUAGCUAGUUGGUAAGGUAACGGCUUACCAAGGCAACGAUGCAUAGCCGACCUGAGAGGGUGAUCGGCCACACUGGAACUGAGACACGGUCCAGACUCCUACGGGAGGCAGCAGUAGGGAAUCUUCCGCAAUGGGCGAAAGCCUGACGGAGCAACGCCGCGUGAGUGAUGAAGGUCUUCGGAUCGUAAAACUCUGUUAUUAGGGAAGAACAUAUGUGUAAGUAACUGUGCACAUCUUGACGGUACCUAAUCAGAAAGCCACGGCUAACUACGUG
rnacentral:rRNA from 1 species